UUUUGUUCACAGAACUAACAGCACAACAAGCACAACAAAAGUUAUUGAAAUGGAACAAAUCAGAAAAAGCUUGCAAAGCAUUACAAAGAUUGUACAGUUUACCGCCCCCUAGAGGAAGAUAUUGCACUUGUUUUGACCAAGUUUGACAUUCAGAAGUUUAAAUAAAUCAAUUUAGAAUACAUACAGUUUAUGUAAAUUUAAAGGGGUGUGUCUUGUUAUUUGUUCAAAGAACUAUAGAAGAUUUCUGAGGCUGAAUCUCUGACAAAUGUCAAACGUCAAACGUUGAACCAACUUCAUAUCGGUGACUAGCAUUGUGUAUCUGAGUGAACGCAGAUCUGUUUCUCUCAGGAUCCGUUCAGCUGAAUUAUUGAGUUUGUUUGUCAUUUCUAUUCAGAGUCAGUGCUGGAUAUCAGAUUCCGUUUCAUCAUGGAGGAAACACAAACUUCCACAGAUGAAGAGUUUUCUCCAGGAUGCAGUUCAGUUCAUCAGAAGAGAUCAGAAGCAGAGUCCAGCUGUGGGUCUGUGAGGAGUGAUUGGUCUAUGGAUCGUUCAGUAGUGUUUAAGAGUGGAGAUACACAGACUGAUCUCAGGUACGUUUUUAUAUUAUAUUAUAUUAUUUCAUUUUAUAUUAUCAAAAUAGUGUUAUCUUUAUCUGAUAUUUUAACAUGUAGUGAAAGCACUCAGUUCUAUUUAACAUCUUUUGUAAUAAAAUAGUGCAAAUGAAAUUUUUCUGAAGUGCUUUUUAAAGUGAUUGUUUAAAUAAUAUAUGAGCAUGUACAUUGUUAAAAGGAUUGACUUUAAUCUCUCUCUGUUAUAGUUCAGUUCAUCAGAAGAGAUCAGAAGCAGAGUCCAGUUGUGUGUCUAUGAGGAGUGACGAGUCUAUGGGUCGUAUAACAGAAUUUAAGAGUGGAGAUACAAAGACUGACGUCAGGUACAUUUUUGUAUAAAUAUUAUUAUAGCAUUUCUUUAUCUGAUAUUUUAGCUUAAAUAGUGUUACAC
ensembl:lncRNA